rnacentral:rRNA from 1 species
UACGAAGGGGGCUAGCGUUGCUCGGAAUGACUGGGCGUAAAGGGCGCGUAGGCGGUUUGUACAGUCAGAUGUGAAAUUCCUGGGCUUAACCUGGGGGCUGCAUUUGAUACGUGCAGACUUGAGUGAGGAAGAGGGUUGUGGAAUUCCCAGUGUAGAGGUGAAAUUCGUAGAUAUUCGGAAGAACACCAGUGGCGAAGGCGACUAACUGGACAUGUAUUGACGCUGAGGUGCGAAAGCGUGGGGAGCAAACAGG